rfam:Chryseobacterium formosense strain LMG 24722 contig05, whole genome shotgun sequence.
UCCUAUCCCCGAUUGCAAUGAAAAUCCUUUUUUGAAAAAAAGAUUGUAAUGGAAAGCGGGAAAUAGA